GCAUUUUCGUCUUUAUAAAUUCCAUUGCAGGAGCACACUUAUCGCAUGGCAUAUAUGGGCCCUUAACGUCUAUGACGGACGGCGUAUCAGAUGAAAUUCUAAGCGUAAUUUCAUAACAGAUAAUUUUUUUGUCAGGAGGAGAUCGCCGAACUUCCGGCCCUCCACUGGGAAUGGCAGGCGGAGCAUGUCAGAGUCGAACCAACUAAAACCUCCUGUUGGCUCAACAACCAACGUCCAAGCCUCGCAUGAGACAGAACUCAUGAAAAGGCAAAGGGGGGAAAGUGAUGCGUUUAGUGCGGAGCACAUCUCUCUCAUCACACUCCCCCUCGGGACGCCGGACCGGCUGUCGUCGGCGCCACGACCACCAGCCCUUUCGGUCGGCAGGCCAUCCGAAGCCCGCCUAGAUGGCGCCGGUUAGAGAGUCUCAAACGUGAACUAAAAUUACUCUUAGGCCGGUCAUUCGCCUGACAACGAAAACUGUGCCUCGGAAACAAUGUAAGGACAAUAGAAAAGAAGAGAUUAAACAGUAAAAGUAGAUUUUAUUAAACAAUUUUUGCUCCAAA